rnacentral:rRNA from 1 species
UACGUAGGAGGCGAGCGUUGUCCGGAAUCACUGGGUGUAAAGCGCGUGUAGGCGGCCUGCCAAGUCUGCUGUGAAAGCGCCUGGCUUAACCGGGCGAGGUCGGUGGAAACUGGCGGGCUGGAGGCCGGUAGAGGGGGGUGGAAUUCCCGGUGUAGUGGUGAAAUGCGUAGAGAUCGGGAGGAACACCAGUGGCGAAGGCGGCCCCCUGGGCCGUGCCUGACGCUGAGACGCGAAAGCGCGGGGAGCGAACGGGAUUAGAUACCCCGGUAGUCCGCUCAGUAAACGAUGCAUGCUAGGUGUGGGGGGUAUCGAGCCCCUCCGUGCCGUAGUUAACACAGUAAGCAUGCCACCUGGGGAGUACGGCCGCAAGGUUAAA